AAAAUUCCGGACGAAGAUAUCAAAAAAUUUGAGGGGAAAAAAAUAAUUUUGAAAAUUUAUUUUCAAAAUUAGAUUUCGAAGAGAAGAAAUUAUUUUCUAUAGGAGAACCGAAAAGAUUUCCUCGGCGAUGAAUUACUUUGAGAAAAAGUAAUUUUGAAAGGAACAGGAGUAAAAUUUCUGUCAAAAAUUAAUUUCAACAAAAAUAAUUUAGGAACAAAAUAUAUUUUCAAAUUGCAAAAUUACAGGCAGAAAAAUAGAAAGGAAAAAUUUAUACCAAAAAUCACUAAAUUGUCAAAGAAAGAAAAAUUUUAAAUUGAAAAAAUUGAGGCGAAAAAUAUUUCAAAGGAACAAAAAUAACUGCAAAAAAAUAGAAAGGAAAAAUUUAUUCCAAAAAUCAUUAAAUUGGGAAAGAAAGAAAAAUUUUAAAUUAAGAAAAUUGAGGCAAAAAAUAUUUCAAAGGAGCAAAAAUAACUGUGAAGGAAAUAGGCUACGAUGUCUCCAAAAAAAAAAAAUUCAGAAAUAGAAGAAGAAAAUCAAGAAAAAUAUGGAAAACAAGAAAGAGAAAAUGAGAAUAAGAAAGAGAGAGGGGACCCUUCCUUUUUGAGUUGUAAAAUUGAAGGACAUUUAUGACAUCCAAAUUUUGUGUCCGAUGCUGAAGAUAACAAAAUUUUAAAAGGUAAGAAUCUAUAAAUUUAAAAAUUUUUUC